rnacentral:rRNA from 1 species
UCGGUUGGUGACUGCGGGAGACAUUA